rnacentral:snoRNA from 1 species
AAACCAUUGUGAGGGCAUUGAGUAGUAUAGCCCUUAAAGUGUUCCCAUGCUUCAGAGAAUGACUCGGAAUUCUUCUAUGUGAAUUGAUGCGUGU